GUCCUUGGGUCUGUGUGUGCUUUGGCCUGGCUGCCCGGUGUCCCCUGUGCUGAUUCAUGAGUCCCUGGGAAUGUAGAAAGUAGAAUAUUCAUUAGGAAACAGGACCCCAAUGAGGAUGAGCCAAACAUCCAAGUGCUCCUUGAGCACCGCUUCUACAAGGAGAAGAGCAAGAGCGUCAAGCAGACCUGUGACAAGUGUAACACCAUCAUCUGGGGGCUCAUUCAGACCUGGUACACCUGCACAGGGUGUUAUUACCGCUGUCACAGCAAGUGCUUGAACCUCAUCUCCAAGCCCUGUGUGAGCUCCAAAGUCAGCCACCAAGCUGAAUACGAACUGAACAUCUGCCCUGAGACAGGGCUGGACAGCCAGGAUUACCGCUGUGCCGAGUGCCGGGCGCCCAUCUCUCUGCGGGGUGUGCCCAGUGAGGCCAGGCAGUGCGACUACACCGGCCAGUACUACUGCAGCCAUUGCCACUGGAAUGACCUGGCUGUCAUCCCUGCACGCGUCGUACACAACUGGGACUUUGAGCCUCGAAAGGUUUCUCGCUGCAGCAUGCGUUACCUGGCGCUGAUGGUGUCUCGGCCCGUGCUCAGGCUCCGGGAGAUCAACCCUCUGCUGUUCAGCUAUGUGGAGGAGCUGGUGGAGAUUC
rnacentral:sRNA from 1 species